AACAGUUCGAGAUAACUAAAAUGAGGAACAUGCAAAAAUUUGUUUUGAUUUUUUUCUGUCUGUUGUGAGAUGGAAGAAUCAAGAGGCGUGAUCAAGGUUUCUCAGACAAAAGCCAGACGAUCACUCAUAACAAAAGCCACACGAUCAAGAGCCACAUGAUAAAGGUUGUUUGAUCAAGAAGCUUGAUCCAGGUUCGUGAGAGCAAAGUCCUACGAUUGUUGAUACAGACAACAGCUGAGGUGAUGGCUUGUACUCUUGUAUCACGAGAGUGGAAAGGUCACGAGAGUGGAGAGGUCACGAGAAGAACAUGAUAGCCGGAGGCAGAGAAGAACACGAGAGUUUUGUAUUGUCUUGUGGUCAUGGCUGACUUGUCCUCUUGUAUCUUUAUGUCACAAGAGUUUUGUAUUUUGCUGA